GUUGCCUCCUCUGGCGAUUAAAGAUGAGAACCUGGUCAGGCGGGGAACCGAGCAGCCAUAAUUAUGUUUAUUUGUGCUUUGGAGUAGCGGCGUGGAG
rnacentral:SRP_RNA from 1 species